rnacentral:rRNA from 1 species
UACGUAGGGGGCAAGCGUUGUCCGGACUUACUGGGCGUAAAGCGCGUGCAGGCGGAUUGGUAUGUGCCGUGUGAAAGCUCUCAGCUUGCCUGGGAGAGGUCGCGGUAGACAGCCGAUCUGGAGGCUCGGAGAGGUCAGUGGAAUUCCCGGUGUAGUGGUGAAAUGCGUAGAUAUCGGGAGGAACACCAGUGGCGCAAGCGGCGUGACUG